rnacentral:rRNA from 1 species
GAUGAACGCUGGCGGUAUGCUUAACACAUGCAAGUCGAACGGAGUACUUCGGUACUUAGUGGCGGACGGGUGAGUAACGCGUGAGAAUCUGCCUUCAGGUUCGGGACAACCAUUGGAAACGGUGGCUAAUACCGAAUGUGCAGAGAUGUGAAAUAUUUAUAGCCUGAAGAUGAGCUCGCGUCUGAUUAGCUAGUAGGUGUGGUAAGAGCGCACCUAGGCGACGAUCAGUAGCUGGUCUGAGAGGAUGAUCAGCCACACUGGGACUGAGACACGGCCCAGACUCCUACGGGAGGCAGCAGUGGGGAAUUUUCCGCAAUGGGCGAAAGCCUGACGGAGCAAUACCGCGUGAGGGAGGAAGGCUCUUGGGUUGUAAACCUCUUUCUCA